UACGGAGGAUGCGAGCGUUAUCCGGAUUUAUUGGGUUUAAAGGGUGCGUAGGCGGAUCGUUAAGUCAGUGGUCAAAUUGAGGGGCUCAACCCCUUCCCGCCAUUGAAACUGGCGAUCUUGAGUGGAAGAGAAGUAUGCGGAAUGCGUGGUGUAGCGGUGAAAGGCAUAGAUAUCACGCAGAACCCCGAUUGCGAAGGCAGCAUGCCGGCUUCCUACUGACGCUGAAGCACGAAAGCGUGGGAAUCGAACAGG
rnacentral:rRNA from 1 species